UACCAAAAGACAAUAG
rnacentral:tRNA from 1 species